UACGUAGGGUGCAAGCGUUUGUCCGGAAUUAUUGGGCGUAAAGAGCUCGUAGGCGGUCUGUCGCGUCGAAUGUGAAAACCCGGGGCUCAACCCCGGGCCUGCAUUCGAUACGGGCAGACUAGAGUUCGGUAGGGGAGUCUGGAAUUCCUGGUGUAGCGGUGAAAUGCGCAGAUAUCAGGAGGAACACCGGUGGCGAAGGCGGGACUCUGGGCCGAUACUGACGCUGAGGAGCGAAAGCGUGGGGAGCAAACAGG
rnacentral:rRNA from 1 species